rnacentral:rRNA from 1 species
GGAGUUAGCCGGUGCUUCUUCUGUGAGUGAUGUCCUUCCUGCCGGCUAUUAACCCGCAGGCCUUCUUCCUCACUGAAAGUGCUUUACAACCCGAAGGCCUUCUUCACACACGCGGCAUGGCUGGAUCAGGGUUGCCCCCAUUGUCCAAUAUUCCCCACUGCUGCCUCCCGUAGGAGUCUGGGCCGUGUCUCAGUCCCAGUGUGGCUGAUCAUCCUCUCAGACCAGCUACGGAUCGUCGCCUUGGUGAGCCGUUACCUCACCAACCAGCUAAUCCGACAUAGGCUCAUCCGAUAGCGCGAGGCCCGAAGGUCCCCCGCUUUCCCCCGUAGGGCGUAUGCGGUAUUAGCCUGGGUUUCCCCAGGUUAUCCCCCACUACCGGGCAGGAUUCCUAUGCAUUACUCACCCGUCCGCCGCUCGCCACCAGGAGCAAGCUCCCCGUGCUGCCGCUCGACUUGCAUGUGUUAGGCCUGCCGCCAGCGUUCAAUCUGACCAAGAUCAAAUUCUGA